CGCGGGGUAGAGCAGUUUGGUAGCUCGUCGGGCUCAUAACCCGGAGGUCGUGAGGUUCAAAUCCCACCCCCGCAACCA
rnacentral:tRNA from 1 species